CAAACUUUGUUCUGCACAGUGAAGGUGGGAGAGGGCCCAGUUACAUUAGGAUACUCUUGGAUUCAAUUGGAAAUCUGGAGCAUCUCAUAAGGACUGGUACCUUUCGCAUUACUAUGAGACGCCUCGGGACGUGACAAAUCGUCGCUAUGUUAUGUGUUGGGAAUGAGAAUGCUCUGUUGGCAAUACGCUGUCAUGAAAAUGAACUAAUUGGCUGUUCUCAGUGUGUGUGGGGCCAGUGCACAGCGGCCCUUUAAUUGACCCAUCAGCCCAAAAGUAUAUCGGUCCACUGGUCAAAAUGCCUGGUUUGCCAGAUUACCAGCGAAGCCCUGUGUGUUACUCACAUGUGAUAUCCUGAAAACAUCUCUUCUCUUUACUGAUGCAGACCCAUUUCCCACCAGCGAGGAUGAAGGAGCCAGCUCCACACAAUACUUGGCAAGCUUUCUGAAGGAAAUGAGAAUGGCUCCAUCCAUCCAGCUGAGAGGACACUUCCUGUCUCAGAUGACACUUCAUAGAUCAGGUUGGAGCAGAGAAACACUUCCUGGCGUCAGAGGUCAUUUCGUAUACGUCAGGAGAAGAGGACACUUCCUGAAUUCAGAUUUUGAACAUGAGAAUGUGGACUAACGGAGGUGAGGAUUGGACCACCAACUUUCUGAUCAGCAGAUAACCUGUCUGCCUCCUGAGUCCCGGCUGUGGAGGGUUAAUAGGAAGAACCAACAAGUCCUGAUAUGUCUUCCUUUAAAGAGAGAUGAUCAGAUUUUGAAAAUCUGAUCCUCAAAUAUGAAACGAUAACUGCAUUAUGAGCGCAUUAUUUUACUUUGCAGAGGUGAAAUAUGAAGUAAAGUCUCAGGAGUGUCAUUUCAUCUGCUGAUCAUGUGAAAGAAAAGCUGCUGCAGGCAUCAGAUGGUCAUCCAGUGGAAACCUGUCAUUCCCAGGCAGGUUUGGCUUCACAUAAGUCUAAUCUAUGCUUUAAUCCCCGUCUGCACUGAAGUUGGUGGGCUGUCGUUAAUGACGGUGAGAGCGUUCUUUUCCUAAAUGCUGAAUUCAGAAUUAACACGAAGUCAAGUUUUAAUGUGAUUACUCUCAACCUAAAAAAACCCCAAGUUAAAUCCAAAGAAAAUUUGUGCUUAGUGACACAGAGAGAGGCAAAAGGAUGUCCACGUGGGCUGAAAAUUCUCUUCAUGCUCUUCCACAAACUGUAGAGCUAAAACUGAAGCAACACUUUGCUAAUUUCUGCCAAACAAUAAAACCAAAAAAACCCAUUCAGAUUAAUCUUCAGUAGGAGCCUGCAUUUACUCACAAGAACCAUAACAAAUGUGUUUAUUCAGUGUUUGAGCAGCUCUUCUAUUGAAAUGACUGCAGAAAGACAAUAAUGUCUUUAUAGCAGGGAAGUCCAAAUGUGAUAGGUUUGAAACAUCAAAGAAACAGAAACAGGAAGCAGAAGCUGACGUGAGGCGUGAAGCCUGGUGCAGUGAAACACUGCAGAUAAAGAUUAUUAAUCUGAAGCUUUAAUGUGGCUUUGUUUCAGAUUUUUUAGCUUUAAAAAUGCCUCUCCUUAAAUAUCAUGUCGACUUUAAACUGUGCGUGUGUGUGUGCGUGUGUGUGUGUGUGUGUGUGUUGUGUGUGUGUGUGUUUGUGUUUAUCCACCAACAUUCCAGCCAGGAGACAGGAAGUCAGGAAUAGGGUGAGGAGUAUGUCAUCAUCCAGGGGCUGGCACAGCUUUGGCUCAAGCCUGAAGAUGAGUGUGAGGAGCUGAAAGAAUCAACGGGGAAGCAUUGUCAGAAUUUUCCAAAUUGACUUUAUUUAAUUUUCUAAAGCAAUGCUUCCUCUUUGAAACUUUGUUACUUGGAAGGUGCUUUUCCUUCAGUUCCUUCUAAGGAACUGUGCAAUUGUUACACCAUGAAAGAAUUUAGACAGUUUGUAACUCUAAGUGAUGCCGCAGUGUUCGUUUGACUUUGGGACCUGAAGCAGAGUUUGGGGGGCGCCAGGACAUACGAUCGAGGCGGCAGCCGAGGAGCUAAGGAGGAGUAGAAUUUGGCUGGAGGCGCUGCAGCAAAGCAGGGACCUCCACAGCGAAGGAACACCAAGAACUUAUAAGUGAGGUAGCAAACAGCUGAACCCAAUGGAAACUGAAGUGCACAAUGAAAAUCAGAGACUGGAUGUUCAUUACCAUAGUUUCUUCAAAGUCAUGAUGGAUCGGAAAGUAUGUGGCCGGGUGACUGGAUCUCACCCCUCGCCCCUAUUUGGAAAGGGUCAUACCUCUCAAACCACAGGGACACUGUAGGUCACAAAUACAUAUUUUCAGUUUCUUGUAAUCUUGUUCCAAGUUCUUAGAGUUAUUGUGGAUUGCUAUGAUUGUGAUAAGCCAAAAACAGAACAAAACUUUACAGUAAAAGGGCUGGACCAGGUGACCCUGAAUCCUCCCUUAGUUAUGCUGCAAUA